AAUAAAAUUCGGGCGCCCUUUUCAGAGCGCCCUUCAUGGGAGAGGAGAAACCGGACGAAGAGCUUAUGGGGAAACGUAAGUCUUCUCCGCGG
rfam:Paenibacillus sp. DMB20 mira_14, whole genome shotgun sequence.